rnacentral:rRNA from 1 species
AGAGUUUGAUCCUGGCUCAGAUUGAACGCUGGCGGAAUGCUUUACACAUGCAAGUCGAACGGCAGCACGGGAGCUUGCUCCUGGUGGCGAGUGGCGAACGGGUGAGUAAUACCUAGGAACAUGUCCAGUAAUGGGGGAUAACGCAGCGAAAGCUGUGCUAAUACCGCAUACGCCCCACGGGGGAAAGCGGGGGAUUCGCAAGAACCUCGCGUUAUUGGAGUGGCCUAGGCCUGAUCAGCUAGUUGGUGAGGUAAAGGCUCACCAAGGCGACGAUCAGUAGCUGGUCUGAGAGGAUGAUCAGCCACACUGGACUGAGACACGCC